UAUAAGAAGGCGAGGCGGCACCCGCCGCUCUGCUCUGGGGCGGCAUUGCCAGCCGGCUGUAGGCAUUCAGGGCAGUGUCUUCUGCAUCUCCUAGGAACCUCGGGAGCGGCAGCUCCGGCGCCUGGUAGCGAGAGGCGGGUUCCGGAGAUCCCGGCCUCACUUCGUCCCACUGUGGUUAGGGCGUCACUGGUGUACCGCCUGCCCCAGUCGUGGGUGGGGCCCAAACUGCCCUGGAAACUCCUCCAUGCAGCGCUGCACCUGAUGGCCUUCGUCCUCACUGUUGUGGGGCUGGUUGCUGUCUUUACGUUUCACAACCAUGGAAGGACUGCCAACCUCUACUCCCUUCACAGCUGGCUGGGCAUCACCACUGUCUUCCUCUUCGCCUGCCAGUGGUUCCUGGGCUUUGCUGUCUUCCUCCUGCCCUGGGCGUCCAUGUGGCUGCGCAGCCUCCUAAAACCUAUCCACGUCUUUUUUGGAGCCGCCAUCCUCUCUCUGUCCAUCGCAUCCGUCAUUUCGGGCAUUAAUGAGAAGCUUUUCUUCAGUUUGUGAGUGCAGUGGGGUCCCCAACUCUAAGGAAAAACACCACCAGGCCAUACCACAGCCUGCCCAGUGAGGCGGUCUUUGCCAACAGCACCGGGAUGCUGGUGGUGGCCUUUGGGCUGCUGGUGCUCUACAUCCUUCUGGCUUCAUCUUGGAAGCGCCCAGAGCCGGGGAUCCUGACCGACAGACAGCUGCUGCUACAGCUGAGGCCUGGAUCCCGGCCUUUCCCUGUGACUUACGUGUCUGUCACCGGCAGGCAGCCCUACAAAUCCUGGUGACCUGCUCUCCCAAGAACAGAGCCUGUCCCCAGAUGUCCCAGUAGCGAUGAGUAACAGAGGUGGCUGUGGACUUCCUCUACUUCUCCUUGCUGGAUCAGGGCCUUCCUGCCUCCCGCUGGGCAGGUCUGGCCUUGCUCUCUUGGCAGGGCCCCAGCCCCUCUGACCACUCUGCAGCUCACCAUGCAGCUGAUGCCAAAGUUGUGGUGUCCAGUGUGCAGCAGCCCUGGGAGCCACUGCCACCUUCAGAGGGGUUCCUUGCUGAGACCCACAUUGCUUCACCUGGCCCCACCAUGGCUGCUUGCCUGGCCCAACCUAGCGUUCUGUGCCAUGCUAGAGCUUGAGCUGUUGCUCUUCUUCAGGGGAGGAAAUAGGGUGGAGAGCGGGAAGGGUCUUGCUCCUAAGUGUUGCUGCUGUGGCUUUUUUGCCUUCUCCAAAGACGCACUGCCAGGUCCCAAGCUUCAGACUGCUGUGCUUAGUAAGCAAGUGAGAAGCCUGGGGUUUGGAGCCCACCUACUCUCUGGCAGCAUCAGCAUCCUACUCCUGGCAACAUCAGGCCAACGUCCACCCCAGCCUCACAUUGCCAGAUGUUGGCAGAAGGGCUAAUAUUGACCGUCUUGACUGGCUGGAGCCUUCAAAGCCACUGGGAUGUCCUCCAGGCACCUGGGUCCCAUGACCAGCUCCCCAUCUCCAUAGGGGUAGGCAUUUCACUGGUUUAUGAAGCUCGAGUUUCAUUAAAUAU
rnacentral:lncRNA from 1 species